GCCCCCGUAGCUCAACUGGAUAGAGCGGUGGCCUCCUAAGCCGCAGAUCGUGGUUCGAGUCCACGCGGGGGUA
rnacentral:tRNA from 1 species